ACUAAGCAAGUAUUUGAAUUGCUUAUGAAAAUUUCUAUCUUUUUGUUUUAUAGGGACAAUAAAGCCGUUAUUUAAAAGAGGAUGGAUAGGGGAUGUUUCAUCCUCUGAAUCCUGCUCUUUAAGCAAAAAUGCUUUUUGAUAUCGAAAACCAAAAUUUGGUUUUUGUAAGCUGAAGCAUUACGUGAAAAAAUAAGCAAAAAUGGAUUUUCCGAAAGAAGUGAACAGGUGGCAUCAUAAUACUAGUACUAACUGAAUGAAACAUCCUUUCAUUCAUCACAUCUUGAUGUUUGAGCAAGAAGUUAAUCCAUAUUUUGGUUUUCCCCAACUAACAUCUGCCAUUUGUACCCAUUGUAACAUUGUCACUAACAGAUCUUCACUUCUGGGUUCUUACCAGUGGAGCUGGACACUAUAUUCAAUCAACCAUUUAUUUCAGCUGUUCAGAAGUUUUGAAACAUUACUUUUUCAAGUACUUAGAGGUGGCUACCUGUAACAAAAGAAGAGCCUGUUAUGAUAUAUUUGCAGAAUUGCAAAAGUGCUGUACUAUACUGGCCUGAAGAAUGUGCUCAGCGUUGAGAAAUGAGAACAGAAAAAACGGCUGGCUGUUACUCUGAACGUCAAAUAUACAGAUUCCGGUCGGACGACCGGGUCGUUAAGGCAAAAUCAACGUCAGUCGUCCAGGAUGUUAUCGAAGAGAUUAGUGGAAUGAUCAGCUUAGAUCCGAACAGGAAAUAGAAGAGUAUUCGCUGUAUUACAUGGCUAGAAGAAUAAAUCCAUACGUCACUUAAGUGCGGAAGAAAAAUCUACAAAUCUACAUACUGAUUUUCUGCCUUUCAGUCAGUAACCAUCUAAUGCGUUUGGACAACAGAAGCGUUCUUCUAUCGGACUGUUACUGAUUAUCUCGAAGAUAUAUUGCCCGUUAUGCCCGGUGAGCAACUUCACAGGACUAUAUUGUUAGUUGGUAUCACCUUUACGGAUCCAAAAAGAUUAAGAUCACAUGCCUAUUGUGAAAGAAAUCGUGUCUCUUUUACUGAAACUGGCUCUCCGUUCACAUUACAGUGCGUGUGCCAUUCUGAUACAGAGCUCUUGAAAAGAAGUUAAAGGUUUUGAGUUAAAGACCAAUGUUCAAGUUCUAGAAUUAUUAGAAAAAUAGUCGCCCUUUGGUUAAAGUUUCUUCGACGUCCGAUGCCAUGCAGAUUCUGCCUAGUAAUCUUCAUAUAUUUCAGCGCUUAUCGGAAUGAUUUUCAUUUCCUCGACGUCAUUGCUCU